CCAGGGCAGAACCCACUUUUGUAAGAACCCCUGGGGCAGGCAGAUUUAACAGGUCCCUGAGGCCAGCUGGAGGCUCAGCGUGGGGAAGUCCGAGUGUGACAACUCCAGGGGGCCAGUCAGAGGGGCCCCCUGCUCUUUUUCAUGCAUUUUACCUCCAGGACCGUAUCCUGUUCUCAGAGUGAAGAUCAUAGGAAAACUCCUCAUGGUUCCUGCCAGGAAAGGAAAAAAUAGCUCUAUUGAAAUACACCCAGAACAUUCUCUUCCAUUGUGGGGGGUUGUGUUUUGUUUUGUUUUUUUUUUUUUUGAGAAAUUAUUUUACCAGAGCCUAACCUACCUGGGGGAAGGGAAAUACCUUCUGUGUCACCCAAAUUGGGGUGGGGGAAAGAGACAAACUUGUGGAGGUCACAGCUCAGGGCACAGGUUCAAUGAGAAUUAAUCACAGGACUACAGAUGCCCUGCUCUGUCCCGCUCCCCCAACACCUUACCUCCAUGUCAUUAGGGCCCCUGUGUAAUAACAGGAAUAAAAUUAAAAGAAGUAAAUGUCUCAGGAGUGUCUAGGGAAAACCCUAAGACAGCGGGGAGAUGAAAACAAGGACACACGGGUGGCUUUAGCCUCUCGCACGAAUAGCUGUAGCAAACUACACACAGCCCAGCCCCAGUAGAUAAACAGAAAACCUCACAGAAGAAACUAUUUAUUUUGGUUCUCUUACCCAGUGCAUUCCAUGGUGCAUCCUCGCCUAGAAUUGAGUGGAAGCAAGUCCAUCUCAGAAGGGACAUACCUGAAGAGAAAUGGCUUUCCAGACUCUGAAGGGCAGAGAAAGCACCAGCCUGGGUUAGAGAAAGAGAACAGCAUCUCUGAGCCCGUCCUGGGUGACCUCACAGAGAUCACCCUAGUGGCCCAGGCUAGUGACCGGGAACAUGUACCUUCCUGCAGCCAACCCCAGACGUCCACUGAUGCAUCAUAUACUGGCAAAGAUCCUGGCCUGGGAGGGCGUUGGCCGCCGGAGAUUCGCCAGAUGUUGGACUCCAGGGGCGGCUUCUGCUGCCGUAGAGGCGGGACGCCGGUCUCCAGGUGAGCUUGGUCCUGGGAGGCGGCGGCGGCAGCGGCGGCGGCUGGAGUUUGGGGUCCGUUCCAAGCAGCUGCUCGAUUUCUUCUCUCCCCCGCGGCCUGGCCUGGGGGCGACCUCUGCCGCAGGAGAUUUGCCUGAGGUCCGACUCCAGAAGCCGGAUGCCCGUCUUCAGGUCAGCUUGCUCCUGGGAGGCGGGCGCGAUGCUGUCGAGGGGCAGAGGCAGCUGCGACGGCCGGCUGCCCCGCCUAAUGGGGCCACUUCUCCUCUCCCCUGACCUGGCCUGGGGACGGCCUCUCCCGCCCAAGAUUAGCCUGAAGCCCCACACCCGGUCAGGUUCCUCCUGGGAGGUGGGCGCGGUGACAUCAGGGGUUGGAGAGGAGAGGGGUCUGCCCCUGGCGGGCUGCAGGAUAAGCUCCCAUCCCUCUGGAGGCCUGACGUGGGGGUGGCCUCUGCUGCCCCUCAUUCCCGGGUCACCCUUCUCCAGGACAUAUUGCCCCGGGGGUGCUGAAGGUUGCGGGGGCGGCGGGUUGUUGGCGGGGGUAUGGAGCUUGCCGCUUGGGAACUGGUGGUUUAGAUCCCAUUUCCCCGCAGCUUGGCCUGGGGGCAGCCUCUGUUGCCCCAGGUCGCAAAGCACUGUUUCCCUGACAGCUUAACCACCGGAAGUGGGCAGGAUGUGCUGAGGGGGCGGAGGCAGCCGCCAUGGCAGCGACGGAGGGGGCUGUCCCUGGCCAGCUGGUCAAUUUGUUCCCAUCUCAACAUUUGCUGCCCCAGUUUCGCAGGACGCCCUUCUCCAGUUUAUCCUUCUCCUGGGAGGUGACAUUUUAGGUUAUUGGGUCCCAGAUUGCUGGCACACUCAUCCUUGUUCUCAAACAUCUUUUAAACUUGGGUGAAGUGAUAAGUUGGGGAAGAAGAUGAUUUACUGAAAGAGUCUCCCGAGAAGAGAUUCAGACUGAACAGCUUUGUGUCAGACUUUGGAAGACUGCUGGUGCCCAAGGGGUUCUCUGGCAGCACAAUGACGAAUCUAGGUCCCUCUUUCACUGCUACGUCAAUGAAGUGGACCGCUUGGACAAGGCCAAAGCUGGUAUCCGAACCAUAGCCCUUGACAGUGAUGUUCGGCUCCAGGAAGCCAUCAGAUGCAGCAGGUGGCCAGAGGAGGAGCCGAACGGGCUCAUGAAAUGUGACACCCCCAGCUUCAUCAACACGGACCAGAACUCUUCCUUUGGGGAAAUGAUCUGAUUUUGGAACCACCGAUUGUUCUAGAAAAUAAGCCAGUUGCCCAGACCUCACACAAAGACUUGAAUUGGAAAUGUGCUUUGUCAAGUGUUUUUCUGAAGAUAUGAAGUCUGUCUUUUUAUGGCAGGAAUUCCCCUUUCACAAAAUUGUAAGUGUUUGUGUCUGAGAGAGAGAAAUGGAGACAGACAGAAAGAAGGAGACAGAAGAGAGCCCCUCAGAAGAGAGCUAGUUAAGAAUCCUUGAGAGGUCCCUGUCAUCAUUGUCAGUAUCAUCAUCAUCAUCACCAUCAUCAUGGAACUGAUUCCUCUGGGAGAUUCUAGGAAAAUAAAGAGCUGGACGGGGUUAUGUGCAGCAUCCCAGACUGACGAAGACAGUGGAGAAUGCCUCUGAGUUUGGCACUGAUUGCCUGGAGAAUGCUGAAACCCAGGGAAGUGGGCAGCACAGACGUUUACUCAUUUAAUUUUGCCAACACAGUAGGAGAUAGAGUCUACAUAUUCCUCGCUACUUAAAAGGUAAGGAAAAAGAGGCACAAAUAAUAACAACGACAACAAAAACAACAACAAUUUGUCCAAGAUUCACACAGAACCCCCUGGAGGCAGAGUGAGAAUUUAUACUCAGGCAGGCUGGCCCCAGAGCCCCUGCUCAUAACUAAUAAGUCAGAUCACCUUGCUUAUGUGGAUCAGUUUUUUUCAAAUGUGAUAUGAGGGUACUGUGUCCAGUAACUUAUAAUUUCAAAAUACUUCACUGUAACGGAAUCAUUAGUCACAGGCGUUACAAACCACAGAAACCUACACAUACAAAAAUAACUCGUUAGUUCAUGUUAACCAAUAACGUUUUUAAAUAUUAUACCUGCUGGGCCUUUGCAAUAAAAUGUCUUUUUAUAAUUCUGUCUGGCUACAGAAUAACUUCAUAAUCCUGCAUGUUGCUGGUGGCUCCCAUGUUGGACAGCACGGGCCUAGAGAUUUUAAAUUACUUGCCCAGACUCGCCCAGGAAGCUCGUGGUGGGAUCCGAGCUAUAGUCUGGGACUUUUCCUUCCUAUCCAACAAGUCCCUCAUGGAAGUUUAGAAGCUUCUCCUUUGGUGCUCAGCUGUCUAUCCGUACUUAUAACAUCUUGUCAGGUGUUCCAGCCUGCUCCUGAACAUCAGCCAGAACCCACUUCUUCUCUAUUUUGUCCAGAUCCCUGCCUUCUCUCUGCUCCUCCUGUCCAUGUCUCUCCCUCCACUUUUCCCCUUCUCCCCCCCUCCUCCCAUCUUCUCCGUCCCUCGCUUCCCCACCUUCUCUCGCAGAACCCAGAUAGGAUCGCUGGCCCUCCUGCGCAUGCGCAGUCAGUGCCAGCUGGAACGAGGGUUGGAAGCUCCAGCUCCGAGCCUGGGAUCGGCCCCAAAGGCUGCUCAGCUCUUUCGCCCGGUAGGACUUUUGCUUCUGCCCCGGCGCCCCAGCCACAGCUCUCCAGGGCCAGGUGUGCAACUGCCGCCUCUCGCCCCAGCCGGGCUCCCCUCAGUCCGCGGCUGGCGUCCCCUUCCCCUCUCCCGCCUGCGAGUCCUCUCCUCCCGAGCUUCCUCUCCUCGGCCGCUGGCCCGUCCCCGCCCCUGGGAGGGCUGUGUCCCUGGCGGGCGGGGUCUGCAGACCCGGACGGGGGCGGGCGGCUGGGGCUGGGGCUGGCCUCCGAGCGGGGCUACAGCCGGCGUCCCCCCCCUUACCCUGCCCCACGACCCCGAUGCUGCCCUCCUCUCCCUUUCCCGCUCCCUGGGGACCAGCUCAGUGGCGUCUGCGAUGCUCCCCGGGCUGAGAGCCUCCGGCUGUGAACCCCUGCUUCUCCUGGUGGAGUCGGGAAAAGGGAGCGUCAGUGCUGAGCGAGCUUCCGUCUCCUCCCUCAGUGUUUCUGCCCCAGAUGAGCUGGCAGAUGUAGUGGCCUGGACAAAGCUGAGGACACAGAUGCCAGCACCGUGCCACUCCCAGGCUGGCUCCAUUCCCGUCACCUGUCACCUCCUGCUGAGUCCCCAGGCGUCAGUCAAUGUAGGUGCAUUGGUGCAACGUAAGCAGGGACCACCUUCUCCCCCUGGACAGAAUGGUGGGUGAGCAGUGGAAGCCUGGAGCCCUGCCCCAGCCCCCUGGCCAGUGCCUCCUCUUUUGUCACAGGAGGCACUGGUGACAUGUUUGCUCAGCAACUGCUUGGCUCUGAGUCUGCAGACCCACCAGAGAAUACCAGCUUGUUUUUGCCUUUUGAAGUCUGUCCUUGGGAUUUGGCGGAGUAGCUGGUUGUGUGCUUAGCCCAUAGUGGUUGACACUGUGACCAUUGUUUACCCAGAACCUCGUGUACCAGGCAUGGCUCUCGGCAUCAAAAUACAGCAGCGCAUUAAACCUCCCUCCUGGUGGGUCUGUCUGUUUUGGUACCGUAAGGGCUCAGCCAGCAUCUGAACGUCAGUGAGAUAACGCGGCCAGUGAGCUCGGGUCAAGUACGUUCUCUUCCAGUAACUUUUACUCCAUUGUUGCUUUUACUAUUCCACAGUCAUUACUUUUUUAAACAAUGCUUUGGUGCAGGAACAGAGCCUAAUUCUCUCCUGUUACUCUUGGUGGGAGUGAGUAAAAUUGUCCAGCUUGAAAUGCGACCACAUUUUGUAGCUCAAAAGCUGUCUACACGCAUCUAGGUGAAGUUUAGGUUUGGGGCGCUGACGACGUUGGGGUCCCCCGGCAGCGCCACUCGCCUCAGGCCCCUGCCUUCCCUGGAACAAUAGGUGAGGGUGGGUCUCACCGUCCCCUCAUCCCUGUCCUUACCAAACUCAACUAAAUUCUUCUAAUUGCUGUCAGUUAUUUUUGUUCUCAUGUGUUUCUAAUUUUCGCUGUUCCUCUUUUCCUUUUUCUAUUUCCCUUUCUAUCUCGUACCGCCCUGUGAGCAUGUUGUUGUGUCUGAAAAGUGGGCUGUGCACACCCUGCAUUGGAAAUAGCCAGAUUGUCCUCCGUGCUGUCCCCAUCAUUUAAAAAGCAAAAACUUAACAGUUGCCUUGAUCCAUAUAUUAUCCUAGUCAUCUUUUUAUUUUCUAGUAUUUUGGAAUUUUUGCUUUGUUAGCACAUCACCCACUGGUGAUUGAUACCUGUUAAAAUCCUUGCUUUGAGGAACCAGUUUGGUCCUCCUUAUGUUUGGUGACAAAUGCGCCCUUACUAAAUUUGUUUGAUUGUUUUGCAGAAGUGAGAUGCGAAUUGAUUUAGGCGGCUGCUGAGGGAUUUUUUUCAUGGAGGAUUUAAACUUGGAAAGGCAAAAUCUGCAGCAUCUUCCUUAAUUCUGGCUUUUACACAAACGUGCUUGGCACGCGGUUCCGGGCUGUCGCUGUGUGAGGUGCGUGACGGAGCUUCCUGGCCGGCGGUCACUGGUGAGGAAGUGGCAGGCUCGGGGGUGAGCAGCUGCAGAGGAUGCUGUUGGAGGAAGUAGUCACCGGUUUUUUGCUUUUUGUUUUUGCAUUCACUUUCCCCGUGCCAUUUACUUUACUUUGCCUUCAUAGAGAGGCAGGAGCGGGUCUAAAAUCCAUGCCACUCUUAUUUUCCCUUUACGAGGCUGGUUUUUCUGAGUAUCAGAACAACAUGGCCUUCUCCUAAGUAGCUGGCUCACUUGGAUCUGGUGGACACAGGGACCGCUAAAGGGGACCGUACCUUCCUCUCUGCUCCAGCCAGUGGGCAUUCAGAGCCGGGUCUGUGGUUUGCCUCAGCAGCCAUGCAGGCCUCCCUGCACCAGCCUUUACUAUUAACCCAAGUUGGCAGUAAAUAGCUGACUCCGUGUCUGUUGCAGCUGACGUCCACCACUGAUGGCCGUGUCGUUAGUUUGCGGUAGUGAGUCUCCAACACCCCAGUCAGCCGUGAAGUGACCUUGCAUUCUCACCCACACCCUGGUUCAUCUCACCCGGGGGAAGGGUUUGGCCACCACCGUCAUGCUGGCCAUGAGACCUUGUUUCUCCUUUCAUGCUCUGGUCCAAUUGUGGACAUUUCAUCCUUCACUGACUUGGUCUCGCUUGAGACAGGCCAGAAAUUCUGAAAGAGUCCAUCAUAUUCUCGGGGGGAACAGAACAGAAGUAAGAGUCGCAAGUAGGAGUCUAGGCUAUCUGGGUUGGCAAAUGCAGGCUGGGAUCUGUGAAGGCUGGGCUGUGCCCUGAACACAGGCUUUUCCCGUGGCUCCCAAUAGCCCAGGGGUCGGAGUGAGAACAGCCUUGCCUGGGUUUCCCAAUCCUCAUCUGCUCACUGGCAGGUGUGUCUGCUAACUAGGAACUCCCCCAAACCUCGGGCCCUUCAAAGUUCAGACCACAGGAGAACCUUGAGUCCCUUCUCCUGGGCCUCCUUUGUGAGAAUCCAGUGCCUUCUGAGGUGACCAGAGGAAGGAGAUGCCUCCCCCUCCAGGAAGCACUCUUCAGAGGACUGUGAUGCACUGCACCUUGCUGUGAGCUUGUGGGGUUCCAUCCGUGGUCCUUGCAGAACCAGACUUGAGACUGGCUUAGUGAUAGAAAUGACAGGACUGAUUCCAGGGCAGGGCCGGGGGGAGGAACAAGGGAAAUUGAAUGUGACCUCAAACACCUAGGUGGGUUCUGGGUCUGUUACUAAAAUCGGGAGCCUGGGAGGUACCUGCCAGGAAUAGAACUCUAGAGUAAAUGGUGGACAUGAGGCAUUUUUAAGAUUCCAUUUGUCAUCCAAGUUAGGACUUCAAAGAGGCACUCGGGUCUAUGGCCCCGGGGCUCAGGUGAAGGAGCUGGCUAGAGAUACAUGUUGGGAGUCGUCAUUCUUAGCUGGUGUUCACAGCCGUGCAGGUGGAUGAGCUCAUCUCGAGAGGUGCAGACUGAGGCUGAGGCGGGGCAGGGCUGUGCCUGGGUGGGAAGAAAGCCCAGACCAUGCAGCUUUGGUGUGUCAGUCAGUGGCGUUUGGGAUUUUCAGAGCAAUGGCAUUUAUCCUUAAGGGUCUUGGGGGUGGGCAGGGCCACCCAGGAAGAAAUCUGAAGGGAGGGUUGUGGCCACGCAUGCGUGUCUUGGGAUGAUGCAGAGGCUGCAUGGUCCAGGAGGGGAAACUCCUCGGAAGCUGGAGUCGGAGUGGGGAGUGGGGAGAAGGUAGUCACACUCACCUGUGAGGGAGGGACAGAGGACUAGGUAGUCUCCACCUUAGGGGACUCUCUUUCCCACGAACAAAAGGCCAGCAGACAGAAGAUUUGAGGUGAGAAGGGACGGGCGCUGGGAGAGGAGACAAAUUGGAGAAUGGUGGUUGGACAUUUCUGGAAUACUCUCCCUGCAAAAUAGAGUUAAAAAAAAAACCCAGACUCUUAAGAACAUUGAUAGUGACGUUGGAGGAGAUAGUUCUUUUUCUGGCCUCCUAAGGGUAAGGCAUGUAUCCGGGGAUACACAGGAGG